rnacentral:rRNA from 1 species
UGGGGGAUAUUGCACAAUGGGCGAAAGCCUGAUGCAGCGACGCCGCGUGGGGGAUGAAGGCUUUCGGGUUGUAAACCUCUUUCGCUAUCGAACAAGGCCCGCUUAGGGUGGGUUGAGGGUAGGUGGAGAAGAAGCGCCGGCUAACUACGUGCCAGCAGCCGCGGUAAUACGUAGGGCGCGAGCGUUGUCCGGAAUUAUUGGGCGUAAAGGGCUUGUAGGCGGCUUGUUGCUCCUGCUGUGAAAACGCGGGGCUUAACUUCGCGUGUGCAGUGGGUACGGGCAGGCUUGAGUGUGGUAGGGGUGACUGGAAUUCCAGGUGUAGCGGUGGAAUGCGCAGAUAUCUGGAGGAACACCGAUGGCGAAGGCAGGUCACUGGGCCAUUACUGACGCUGAGGAGCGAAAGCAUGGGUAGCGAACAGG